CAGCAGCCACGGUAAUACGAAGGGGGCUAGCGUUGCUCGGAAUGACUGGGCGUAAAGGGCGCGUAGGCGGCUGACACAGUCAGAUGUGAAAUUCCUGGGCUCAACCUGGGGACUGCAUUUGAGACGUGUUGGCUUGAGUGGAGAAGAGGGUCGUGGAAUUUCCAGUGUAGAGGUGAAAUUCGUAGAUAUUGGGAAGAACACCGGUGGCGAAGGCGGCGACCUGGUCCUUGACUGACGCUGAGGCGCGAAAGCGUGGGGAGCAAACAGGAUUAGAUACCCCGGUAGUCCCUGUCUCUUAUAA
rnacentral:rRNA from 1 species